UACGUAGGGUGCGAGCGUUGUCCGGAAUUACUGGGCGUAAAGAGCUCGUAGGUGGUUUGUCGCGUUGUUCGUGAAAACUCACAGCUUAACUGUGGGCGUGCGGGCGAUACGGGCAGACUGGAGUACUGCAGGGGAGACUGGAAUUCCUGGUGUAGCGGUGGAAUGCGCAGAUAUCAGGAGGAACACCGGUGGCGAAGGCGGGUCUCUGGGCAGUAACUGACGCUGAGGAGCGAAAGCCAGGGGAGCGAACGGG
rnacentral:rRNA from 1 species